UUGUCCAAAUCUAGAAUAAGCGUGACGGGUGUCAGGAAAGAGAGAAUUUCACAGAAAUUCAGACGCCUCAAAUGCUGCCUGUUCUCAGUAGUGUCAAGACGUUGUAGGCAGAGGAACGUAGUGACGCGUCGGGCAUGCUUGAAAGUCUGCUUUAAUGGCCGCUCCCGUCCUGUGGGAAAGAAAGGCGAGUGCCUAGCGAACAAAUGGACAGCAUGCACGCAGGUCCGUGAAUGCGCCGCUCUCCCAGAAUUUGGAGGCCGCGUGUCGAAGGUCGCAGGUGCUUCAGGCAACUCAGUUUUGUUCUUGUCUUGCAAGUGGACAGUGUGCAGACUCACAAAUGGUCGACCUGCUCGAUCGUGCCUGAAAGGGUGUCUCUGCGCACACCGAGCUAUACAUGUGGACCUUCUCUGGGCCGAGCAGCAGGAAAGACUACCGGCGCAAAAAGCAGCAAAGCCUCUCCCUCCAAUUAAUCAACGACAUCGCUCAACUAGAGCAUCCAACCAUCCGAGCUGUGUCAGAAAGCUCAACUUCUAGAUGCAUUGUCUGGCGGCAAGGACGCUGUUGUGCCACACUGCAUGCCUGCAUGAAGGCAACGGGCGCUUCCCCCUCCCCACCUCGUUCUUCUGAAGUGGUUGCCCUUGGUGACAACCGGCAAAGUUCCAGGAAACUGCUGAACCCUUUCCGUGGGUCGAACCGGGUUGUCCGGUGGCACAAAGCACCACGACGAAUCCACUGGCAGCCUUCAGAAUUUCACCGAACUGCUGUUCCUUGCCGUGGAGAUCGGUUUUAUGCACCUUGGGCUUCGCCUUCGACGAAAGAGGAAAGCGACGCGUUGACAUCAGCACCGGUCCUGCCUCUUCCUGCCGACGACGGGGACUUUAAGCAGGAAUUUAAGGCAGAGCCGGCCCAUUGUUAGAGAGAGAGUCGCCACUAACUGCUCCAUCGGUCUGGUGCGCUCUUCGGCUCUGCUACUUGUAUGCUAUUGCCUGCUAUUACCUGCUAUAUGUAAAUAUAGUAUAAAGCUUUUCAUCUCCU